UUCUCUGGUUGGUCUGUUGAAAGACCCCCGAAGGGAGACCCCCACUCAGGCACUCAAGUCCCGGGACAGCCGCGGACCCAAGAAGACACUGAGACCA
rnacentral:pre_miRNA from 7 species